rnacentral:lncRNA from 1 species
GCCGAGCCCCCCCCCCGCGCCCCCCGCCUGCCCGAGGGCGACGAUUUCCUCUCCCUGCACGCCGACUCCGACGACGAGGGCGACUUCGGCGCCGACAGCCAGCCCGAGCCGCGCUGGAAGAGCGGCGCCGACCUGCGCCGCAAGAUCCUGGCCCAGCGCCGCCCGCGCUCCCCGGCCAGCGCCGGCUCGCGGAAGAAGGCCAAGAGGUCGCGGGAGCGCUCCUGGGGGGGCGGCGCCAAGCCCCCCCCCGAACCCCCCCCGGCGCCGGCCAAGAGCAAGGAGCGGCGGCGCCGGGGGGGGUCCCGCUCGCGGUCGCGCCGCCGGUCCUGGUCGCGGGGCCGGCGGUCGCGGUCGCGGGGGGAGAAGCGGCGGCGGCGGCGGUCGGGCAGCGGCGAGCGGCCCCCCCGGCGCCCGCGGCACAAGGACAAGCACCGGGGCGCCGAGGGGGGGGGCAAGAAGAAGAAGAAGCAGCGCUCGCGCUCCCGCUCCCGCCGCCCCGCCGCCUCCCGCCGCCCGCACCCCUCGCACCCCGCGGCCUCGUCGUCGUCGUCGUCGCGGCACGAGGGCAAGGCGGAGAAGGGCCCCCGGCGCGGGGGGGGCGCGGUGGUGCCCCCCUCCAUCCAGGAGCUGAACGACGCCGACCUCUUCGCCAUCAAGCGCACCAUCACCGUGGGGCGGCGCGAGGGCUCGCCCGAGGCCGGGCGGCCGCGGCAGCCCCCCCAGCAGCGCGAGGUGCUCUACGACUCCGAGGGGCUCAGCUUCGAGGGGGGGUCGGACCGCGAGGCCGCCCCCCGGCAGCCGCCCCCCCCCGCGGCCCCCAGCCCGGCCGGCGGCGGCGGCGACGCCAAGGCGGCCAAGGAGAAGGAUCGGAAGCGCGGGCACGGCGAGGAGCGGGCCGGGGGGCGCGAGAGGCACAAGAAGCGGGCGCGGGAGGCCCCCGGCGAGGCCGCCAGGAAGGAGAAGGCGGCGGCGGCCCCGAGCCCGGCCCCGGCCCCGGCCCCGCGCCGCGCCAAGGGCGGCCCCAAGGAGCCCGGCGAGCCCAAGGGCGCCCCGGCGCGCAGGGUGAAGCUGCAGU